GGUUGGGCUUUGCAUAUUAAGCUAAACUAUGCGCGACGACACAAACUUAGCUUGCUUUAAAGGAAACAACCGUUUUUUUAGUGUCUAAUGAGAGCAGGAACUCUCUUACACGUGGAUUUUUUUAAUAGUUAUGAAAGAUCUGGUUUUAGUCGCCAAAUUUAAAGUUUUUAUUAAAAAAUAAGAGAUAUUACAAUGAUUGUAGCGUUCGCUCUGUAAACACCUCCUGCGCUCUUGAAAAAGUAUAUUGGUCCUGAAAGACUAAGUGACCUGCAAGUCUCACAUAAAAGUUGUUUGUAAAAAACAUGUUGAAAUUUCUCAAUAAGCAAUCUACUAUCUCAACUGGAGUAGUCUGUUAUAAAUAUGCAUAUGGCGUUUAGUUUUUUUUAAAGUCAAGAAGUAGAAC